UUCCACUCAUUUUUAAGGAUCUACUUGUUUUUAAGCAUCAUUUUCCGUUUUACUGCAAUAUCAAGGUAAUUCUUAAUAUAUCUAAAUAUUUCAGCAUCUCCUGUCAGUACAAGCUCUUCUACAACUGAGUCUCAAACAGCAGCAUCAACAACAUCUCCUGCCAGUACAAGCUCUUCUACAACUGAGACUCAACCAGCAGCACUAACAACAUCUCCUGCCAGUACAAGCUCUUCUACAACUGAGACUCAAACAGCAGAACCUACAA